rnacentral:sRNA from 1 species
UCAUGUCUGGUAGACCGCAUGAUGUGUCC